rnacentral:rRNA from 1 species
UGGGGAAUAUUGGACAAUGGGCGAAAGCCUGAUCCAGCCAUGCCGCGUGUGUGAAGAAGGUCUUCGGAUUGUAAAGCACUUUAAGUUGGGAGGAAGGGCAUUAACCUAAUACGUUAGUGUUUUGACGUUACCGACAGAAUAAGCACCGGCUAACUCUGUGCCAGCAGCCGCGGUAAUACAGAGGGUGCAAGCGUUAAUCGGAAUUACUGGGCGUAAAGCGCGCGUAGGUGGUUUGUUAAGUUGGAUGUGAAAUCCCCGGGCUCAACCUGGGAACUGCAUUCAAAACUGACUGACUAGAGUAUGGUAGAGGGUGGUGGAAUUUCCUGUGU